rnacentral:rRNA from 1 species
UACGGUAGGGUGCGAGCGUUGUCCGGAAUUAUUGGGCGUAAAGAGCUCGUAGGCGGUUUGUCGCGUCGACUGUGAAAACCCGAGGCUUAACCUCGGGCCUGCAGUCGAUACGGGCAGACUAGAGUUCGGUAGGGGAGACUGGAAUUCCUGGUGUAGCGGUGAAAUGCGCAGAUAUCAGGAGGAACACCGGUGGCGAAGGCGGCCUGCUGGGCAGUAGCUGACGCUGAUGCGCGACAGCGUGGGGAGCAAACAGG